rnacentral:piRNA from 1 species
UGCAUUAUCAGAAACUAAGAGGGCA